GAGUUUGAUCUUGGCUCAGAUUGAACGCUGGCGGCAUGCCUUACACAUGCAAGUCGAACGGCAGCACGGGAGCUUGCUCCUGGUGGCGAGUGGCGAACGGGCGAGUAAUGCAUCGGAACGUAUCCUGGAGUGGGGGAUAACGUAGCGAAAGUUACGCUAAUACCGCAUAUUCUGUGAGCAGGAAAGCGGGGGACCUUCGGGCCUCGCGCUCUUGGAGCGGCCGAUGUCGGAUUAGCUAGUUGGUGAGGUAAAGGCUCACCAAGGCGACGAUCCGUAGCAGGUCUGAGAGGAUGAUCUGCCACACUGGAACUGAGACACGGUCCAGACUCCUACGGGAGGCAGCAGUGGGGAAUUUUGGACAAUGGGGGCAACCCUGAUCCAGCCAUGCCGCGUGAGUGAAGAAGGCCUUCGG
rnacentral:rRNA from 1 species